rnacentral:rRNA from 1 species
AACGAACGCUGGCGGCGUGCCUAACACAUGCAAGUCGUGCGAGAAAGUUCCUUCGGGAGCGAGUAAAGCGGCGCACGGGUGAGUAACACGUAGGUAACCUGCCCCCCAGUCUGGAACAACUAGAGGAAACUCUAGCUAAUGCCGGAUGAGACCACGAUCCCUUCGGGGGUUGCGGCCAAAGAUGGCCUCUACUUGUUAAGCUAUCGCUGAGGGAUGGGCCUGCGGGCCAUUAGCUUGUUGGUGAGGUAACGGCUCACCAAGGCUGUGAUGGCUAGCUGGUCUGAGAGGAUGACCAGCCACACUGGGACUGGAGACACGGCCCAGACCUCCUACGGGAGGCAGCAGUGGGAAUAUUGCGCAAUGGGCGAAAGCCUGACGCAGCGACGCCGCGU